rnacentral:tRNA from 1 species
GACAUUAUGGCCGAGAGGUUAAGGCGGGGGACUCGAACUUUUCAAUUGAGGGAUCCCUUGGGCUUUGCCCGCGCAGGUUCGAAUCCUGCUGAUGUCG